rnacentral:ncRNA from 1 species
AAUAAUUAUAGCGCUAGCUCUCAUUUGAUGAGAUGACGAGGGAGAGGUUUAUCGAAUUGUCGGCGGAUGCCUCUCGGCUGACUGAGGUCGUGAAUAACUGAGAAAAAUACAAAGUGAUUUGUAUGACAAAGCAGUU